CCUACGGGAGGCAGCAGUGGGGAAUUUUGGACAAUGGGCGCAAGCCUGAUCCAGCCAUGCCGCGUGCGGGAAGAAGGCCUUCGGGUUGUAAACCGCUUUUGUCAGGGAAGAAAAGGUUCUGGUUAAUACCUGGGACUCAUGACGGUACCUGAAGAAUAAGCACCGGCUAACUACGUGCCAGCAGCCGCGGUAAUACGUAGGGUGCAAGCGUUAAUCGGAAUUACUGGGCGUAAAGCGUGCGCAGGCGGUUAUGCAAGACAGAGGUGAAAUCCCCGGGCUCAACCUGGGAACUGCCUUUGUGACUGCAUAGCUAGAGUGCGGCAGAGGGGGAUGGAAUUCCGCGUGUAGCAGUGAAAUGCGUAGAUAUGCGGAGGAACACCGAUGGCGAAGGCAAUCCCCUGGGCCUGCACUGACGCUCAUGCACGAAAGCGUAGGGAGCAAACAGGAUUAGAUACCCUGGUAGUCCACGCCCUAAACGAUGUCAACUGGUUGUUGGGAGGGUUUCUUCUCAGUAACGUAGCUAACGCGUGAAGUUGACCGCCUGGGGGAGGUACGGCCGCGAGUAGAACGACAAGAGAGUUAGACGGCGUGAGACGUAGCCGACGGACGACGACGAGGGGAGGAGG
rnacentral:rRNA from 1 species